UAGUCCUGGCCGAGGCAUCUGGUUUAAUUACCAAUGUUUCGCCUUUUACUAAACAUUGCAUGGUGUCUCGGUCACUAACUGGACACUAAAGCCCAAUUUUUCUGCCCUCAUUCGAGGGCU